GAAAUUAAAUUGUAUAAUUAAGAUUGCUAAUUUUAUUUCAAAAACUAGUUUUCUUGCACUUAUGUCGAUAUCGAAGAUGGAAUUUGACCUAAAUUCACCAAAGGCAACAAAAAAGAGACGGGAAAACGUUUUUAUUGAUUCGUAAUUUCCGGUUUCAUCAAAAAAUCGACUUAAUAUCGACAUUAACUUGAUAAAUGUAACGGUUACUCCAAAGAUUUUUUAUUGCAAGUGAGAUCAUCGUUU